GGUCUCCCAAGUCUCAACUCUCAAGUUAAGAAAGACCGCAAGCGAUUAUCCGCCCCUUGGUCUCUCCGGUUUAAUUCUUACUGUCUUUGAAGUCUGGAGUCUGGACUUCUCUCAUCGUCCAUCGCUUCCGGAGGCCAGUUGAUGCCAUGGGAACAGAGAUGAAUGGGGGGCGGGGGGAAGGCAGGUUGCUGUAAUAAUGCAUAUUUAUGAUAACACUGAGGUGUCUAUUUCGCACAGUGAUAUGCUGAUGAAUCCACAUGGAUAGGGCCCUCAACACUAAAAUGAUCCAAUAAUCUUAUCCCAACCUGAGAUUGUAGCUGGCGUCCAAUGAAAAUAUGAUAACACUAAUACUCUGUUGAUUAUCCGCACUGUUCUUUUAGCUGCAAUCAUAAACUUAUGAAUACCUUUUCCAGGUCCAUGAAAUGCCUAAUGGUUGGCCUCUUGGACUCGAGAACAUGAGUACAAGAUUGAGAGUACUAGAAUAUUUACAAGCUGCUGUAGCAGAGGAAUCAUCCUCUUUCCAUAUGUACUCUACCAGCUUCUCUUCAUUCUCAUCCUCUGAACUUGACACCGAGGUUGGCCAGUCCACAAGAUCCUUCUUCCAAGACCAUAGUGUUUCACUGGGCCGGCUAAUUGGAAUAAGACCAGGAGUUAGAGGAGAUUUGCAUUUCACUAACACAAUCCACUCCCAAGAACAUGAACAGGUUUCUGUAGCAGGUUCCUCCACAACUAUGACCAGGAGACGUGAAAUGGCUAUGUCUGAGGGGAUUUGCAUACCACUACUGCUAAAUAUUCUUGUAAAGAUCAACCCAAGUAGAAACAACUCAAAACAUUGAAUUGAGAUCAAACUGAUCAUAAUUUGACGAUUGUAUUGCAGAAGCAAUUGGUCGCAACUGCUUCUCUUUUGGUCUCUUAGAUUGCUGAAUGGGUUACUUUUAAGUUUUUAACAUCAAGAGGGUCCAUUGGAAAGAAAUGUGGGAUUUUGUGUUUAUCUAGGUGAACAAUGUCAUGGGAAGAUUCCUGACUAUCCCAAAUCUAAUAAAUGUGACAAAUUGGAAAUAAUAUGAAUGGAUUUUUGGCCUUGGGAAGAACAACUCUUUCUGGGAGAAUUGGUUCUUGA